AUUGAACGCUGGCGGCAGGCCUAACACAUGCAAGUCGAACGGUAACAGGAAGAAGCUUGCUUCUUUGCUGACGAGUGGCGGACGGGUGAGUAAUGUCUGGGAAACUGCCUGAUGGAGGGGGAUAACUACUGGAAACGGUAGCUAAUACCGCAUAACGUCGCAAGACCAAAAAGGGGGACCUUCGGGCCUCUUGCCAUCGGAUGUGCCCAGAUGAGAUUAGCUAGUAGGUGGGGUAACGGCUCACCUAGGCGACGAUCCCUAGCUGGUCUGAGAGGAUGACCAGCCACACUGGAACUGAGACACGGUCCAGACUCCUACGGGAGGCAGCAGUGGGGAAUAUUGCACAAUGGGCGCAAGCCUGAUGCAGCCAUGCCGCGUGUAUGAAGAAGGCCUUCGGGUUGUAAAGUACUUUCAGCGGGGAGGAAGGGAGUAAAGUUAAUACCUUUGCUCAUUGACGUUACCCGCAGAAGAAGCACCGGCUAACUCCGUG
rnacentral:rRNA from 1 species